GAUGAAGAACGUAGCGAAAUGCGAUAAGUAAUGUGAAUUGCAGAAUUCAGUGAAUCAUCGAGUCUUUGAACGCACAUUGCGCCCCCUGGUAUUCCGGGGGGCAUGCCUGUCCGAGCGUCAUUGCCGCCCUCAAGCACGGCUUGUGUGUUGGGCCCCCGCCCCCCGGCUUCGGGGGGCGGGCCCGAAAGGCAGCGGCGGCACCGCGUCCGGUCCUCGAGCGUAUGGGGCUUCGUCACCCGCUCUGUAGGCCCGGCCGGCGCCCGCCGGCAACCCCAAUCAAUCUUUCCAGGUUGACCUCGGAUCAGGUAGGGAUACCCGCUGAACUUAAGCAUAUCAAUAAGCGGAGGA
rnacentral:misc_RNA from 1 species